GGCAGCUCUCAGGUGACACACCCUGGAAUUGGGCUCCCUCCUCUCUGGUUCUGGGUGCAUCACCCAAGAACUGCA
rfam:Myotis lucifugus cont2.43576, whole genome shotgun sequence.